rnacentral:rRNA from 1 species
UAGAACGUUGGCGGCGUGGAUUAGGCAUGCAAGUCGCGCGACAAGUUUUCCAGCUUGCUGGAGAAUUGAGGAGCGGCGAAAGGGAGAGUAACACGUGGAUACCUGCCCUUGGCUCUGGGAUAGCAGCGGGAAACUGCUGGUAAUACCGGAUAAUGUCCCCGGACCAAAGGUGUGAUUCCGGCCGAGGAUGGGUCCGCGUCCUAUUAGGUUGUUGGUGAGGUAAUGGCUCACCAAGCCGAAGAUGGGUACCGGGCGUGAGAGCGUGGCCCGGCUCACUGGGACUGAGACACUGCCCAGACACCUACGGGUGGCUGCAGUCGAGAAUCUUCCGCAAUGGACGCAAGUCUGACGGAGCGACGCCGCGUGCGGGAUGAAGGCCUUCGGGUUGUAAACCGCUGUCAGUGGGGAGCAAAUGCAUUGGGGCUAUCUCCAUUGCUUGAGCAAUCCGCAGAGGAAGUACGGGCUAAGUUCGUGCCAGCAGCCGCGGUAAC